AACGGCGGCCGUAACUAUAACGGUCCUAAGGUAGCGAAAUUCCUUGUCGGGUAAGUUCCGACCUGCACGAAUGGCGUAACGACUUCCCCACUGUCUCCAGGGUAGACUCAGUGAAAUUGAAUUCGAGGUUAAGAUGCCUCGUACCCGCGGUUAGACGGAAAGACCCUAUGAACCUUUACUAUAGCUUCGCAGUGGCAAUAUGACUGAUAUGUGUAGCAUAGGUGGGAGGCUUUGAAACCGAGACGCCAGUCUUGGUGGAGCCGUUAGUGAAAUACCACCCUUGUUUUUUGUGUUGUCUAACCACGAUCCGUUAUCCGGAUCUGGGACCCUGCGUGGUGGGUAGUUUGACUGGGGCGGUCGCCUCCCAAACAGUAACGGAGGCGCGCGAUGGUAUGCUCAGGACGGUCGGAAAUCGUCCAUCGAGUGCAAUGGCAAAAGCAUGCCUUACUGUGAGACUGACAGGUCGAGCAGUUGCGAAAGCAGGUCAUAGUGAUCCGGUGGUUCCGCAUGGAAGGGCCAUCGCUCAACGGAUAAAAGGUACUCUAGGGAUAACAGGCUGAUAGCGCCCAAGCGCUCACAGCGACGGCGCUGUUUGGCACCUCGAUGUCGGCUCAUCUCAUCCUGGGGCUGUAGCAGGUCCCAAGGGUAUGGCUGUUCGCCAUUUAAAGAGGUACGUGAGCUGGGUUCAGAACGUCGUGAGACAGUUCGGUCCCUAUCUGCCGUGGGAGUUGGAGUCUUGAGAAGAGCUGCCCUUAGUACGAGAGGACCGGGGUGGACGAACCUCUGGUGUAUCUGUUGUCGCGCCAGCGGCACCGCAGAGUAGCUAUGUUCGGACAGGAUAACCGCUGAAAGCAUCUAAGCGGGAAGCCCCCUUCAAUACUAGGACUCCCUAUCAGAGCCGUGGAAGACCACCACGUUGAUAGGCUGGAUGUGGAAGUGUGGUAACACAUGAAGCUAACCAGUACUAAUUGCUCGAUUGGCUUGAAUUC
rnacentral:rRNA from 2 species